UCUAUCUAUCUAUCUAUCUAUCUAUCUAUCUAUCGAUCUAUCUAUCUAUCGCUAUAUUAACCAGAACACAGUGGUAUCUGCAUUUGCAUUAAUCUGUCCCUGUAACAUUCAACGCUAUUGAACCACAUUUUGUGCAGUACGAGUAAAAGGGGAACAAUUAAGUGCUUGCAGGAGUCAGAUUUGACUCAUCAUGGGUCGAAAGGAGGGAUGACCUACAAGACCAUGGUUAUUAUAUCGUAAGAUGUAACCCUUUACACAGAGAGUGCGUGAUUGUGAAAGUGAACAGCGGGAUCGAGAUUUAAAUACUCCCCAUUGAUAGCAGCUCCCUGAAAUGCAAAACUUAUAUGCAAUAUUAGAAUGUUUGCGGGAGAGGGCAGGGACAAACCUUGUAGGAGUGGAAGACACACGUUGUCACUGUUAAAAUUCAGAAGGAAAGAAGACUGCUAUAUAGCGGUCGGGAUAUAAACUCAAAACUAAACAACUGCCAUGAAUCUUGUAUACUUUUUUUUUUUAUAUCGAUAUUGUGUUUUUGAGAAUUGAUACAGUAUCGGCAAACAAAAUAUCGCGAUACUCACAUGUAACAAUAUUUUCUUACAGCCUUAGUCUUUUUAUUCGACUUGUCAAGAGUCUUGAAUUUGACUUAAAUUCAUAUGAAUUAUCUUGUUUAAUAUUAAUAACAUUUGUUUAAUAUUUUAUGCAACACAGUAGGAAAAAAGUGUUAAGAGAAAAUAAAAAUGUUGUACUAACAUUGUAUUUCUUAUUUUUAUUUAUCUUGUCAGGAUACAGUUCGUUUUACAUUUACAACACAAUAGGAAAAAGUGUCGCAGAGAGAAAAAAAUAAUAAUGUAGGUUGUACAAAAAUAGACUAUUAGCUUAUACCGAGUUGAACGUCCUUCAAGGACAGUGCCUCCACACUUUGCUCCAAUCUUUAUUCUGCACUGUCAUUCAUUGACAGCCUCCCGGUUCUGUCUCAGGGCCGUAUAUUUACCACCCGUGCAGCCUGCUCUGAGCAUCAUUAUGCACAUGCUGCGCACAGACCCCGCAAAUAAAACGUGUGAUGCAGAAAGUGCAUAACAGUCCAAGUGCAGGCUGUACCGGUGGUCAAUAAGAAUAAAGCGAAGAAAUGCUGUUCUGAAUGGAUGUCGGGAACAGAAUAUUGUUAGACCGCCUGCUCCCAUUCAAAUUACACCAGAGUUACCGACCGCUACCGUGCUAUACUCAGGAAUGCAGACCUCUAAUUUGUACUUUCUCCUUACUAAUGGAUUCACUGCUAAACUGAUCUGAUCGGAGAGAGUGAAGAGUGUAUCAUUGUUCUCUACAGGUUGAAAUAUUGUGGCGUCACAGGUGAAGGUUGUGCUGCUCUGGCUUCAGCUCUGAGAUCAAACCCCUCACACCUGAGAUAUCUGUAUCUGACUGAGAAUAAACUAGGAGUUUCAGGAGUGAAGUUACUCUCUGAUCUGAAAGAUGAUCCACAUUAUAAACUGGAGAGAUUAAACUAUUACUCUCAGUAUUUAGACGUCAGUCCAGUGUCCUCAGGAUCAGCUGAUGGUGAAUAAGGAGCUGCUACAGAGACGUCAGUCACACAAUCAACAUAGACUGAAGACACAUAGACACAGCAUCACACUGUCAUGUGUUUCUUCUUUCAUUGUCUUGUUUUAUAGGUAAUGGCCAUGAAGUUGAGUGCAGAAUCAAUUUGGAUUCACUAGAUAUUGUCUACAAUGUAGAUCGGGGUGUCAAACAUACGGCCCACAAAGAUAUCCAAUCUGACCUCCGGAUGAUUUGAACAAUAAUAUAAAAUAAAAAUGAACGCAUUAUUUGAAAAAGUGUAUUUGUGAUACACACUGCUCCAAGACUUGGGUUGAAGAUCAAAACGCAGAUUUAAUAAGAGUAAUCCACAGUCACAAUCUAAAUACCAGGCAAAAGGUCAAAAUCACAGCGCAAGCAAUCCAAACAACAGUGUCCAAAACACAGGCAAACAGGUGUGGUCUACCACAUUUACUAAAAAAUUUAGUAGUAAUGGGGUGUCAAGUAGUGAUGUGUCAUGCGCAAAAGAUGCGGCUCUGAGAGCCGAUGCUUUGUAGUGAAUCAGAAGAGCCGGCUCGCAUCGAGUGAGAGCCGGCUCCCAGUUUUUUUUCCUUUUGCCGCUUACCUCAAGGCAGAGCUUUGUUUUGAUUGGUCAGCAAUCGCAUCGCGGCCAAUCAGAUGUGAGGAUAUGGGAUCAUACCAUUAUGUAAAAACAGAGAGGGGGGGUGAAACAGGGCAGAUAAUCACAGAAAGAAGAAAUAGGAUCAGUCCAUCAAAGCUGAGGCAUCUGUUUUUUUUUGAAUGCCAAUCUUCACUGAGGACAUUAAUACUGUUUGCUUGAGUUUGGUUCUAGUUCUGUUCUGUGGAUUUAUUUGCUGUUUUGUUGUUAAUUUGUGCAAUAAAAUGUUUGAUUAAAAUAUUAAAACAAACAAAAUAAUGGUUUUGUAACAAAAUAAAUGCACAAAAUUAGGCAAUUAUAAGGAUUCUCAUAAAAAUACUGCACAUGAAAGGGUUUUCAACACACAAACCAUUAAUUUUUGCAAAGUUAUGGUAAAAUAAAGGCCUACAAAAAAAUCCUCAAUUAAGAGCCGUUCGGGAGUCGAAAGAGUCGGCUCUUCUUUGGGAGCUGAGCCAAAAGAGCCGGCUCUCUGAAAAGAGCCGAACUUCCCAUCACUAGUGUCAAGGUUUUUAUCCAAAGGACACUAAGAACAUAGUUGAUAUAUACACCACUAAAAACCAAGGAAAAUCAAGGUCAGAUUUUUAGUGAUGGGCUUAUAUCCUGAGCUGUCCAGAUUUAAUAUAGAUCAUCAUAACUGUGUAUUUUGAAAUUCAAAAAGACAACUUAUCACUUAUACAUUUUCUUGUACUUAAUCUAGUGUAACAUUUGAGUGUGUAACCUUUGUAUGUAUUUGUUUAUUUUUAUUAAAAUAUGUGUCAUCUCGAGAAGAGGGGCUUCCACUUGA